rnacentral:rRNA from 1 species
AAAGGUAAGCUACUAAGAGCGAAUGGUGGAUGCCUUGACUGGUAAAGGCGAUGAAGGACGUACUAGACUGCGAUAAGCUACGGGGAGCUGUCAAGAAGCUUUGAUCCGUAGAUUUCCGAAUGGGGCAACCCAAUGUAUAGAGAUAUACAUUACCUAUAUAGGAGCGAACGAGGGGAAUUGAAACAUCUUAGUACCCUCAGGAAAAGAAAUCAAUAGAGAUUGCGUCAGUAGCGGCGAGCGAAAGCGCAAGAGGGCAAACCCAGUGCUUGCACUGGGGGUUGUAGGACUGCAAUGUGCAAGAGCUGAGUUUAGCAGAACAUUCUGGAAAGUAUAGCCAUAGAGGGUGAUAGUCCCGUAUGCGAAAAACAAAGCUUAGCUAGCAGUAUCCUGAGUAGGGCGGGACACGAGGAAUCCUGUCUGAAUCCGGGUCGACCACGAUCCAACCCUAAAUACUAAUACCAGAUCGAUAGUGCACAAGUACCG